rnacentral:rRNA from 1 species
UCCACGCCGUAAACGAUGGAUACUAGCUGUUCGGUAGCAAUACUGAGUGGCUAAGCGAAAGUGAUAAGUAUCCCACCUGGGGAGUACGUUCGCAAGAAUGAAACUCAAAGGAAUUGACGGGGGCCCGCACAAGCGGUGGAGCAUGUGGUUUAAUUCGAUGAUACGCGAGGAACCUUACCAGGGCUUAAAUGUAAAUUGACAGGGGUGAAACACCUUUUUCCUUCGGGCAAUUU